rnacentral:tRNA from 1 species
GGUCAGUUAGCUCAGUUGGUAGAGCAUCGGACUGAAAAUCCGCGUGUCCGUGGUUCGAUUCCGCGACUGACCACCA